rnacentral:rRNA from 1 species
UAUAGAUGACAAUUUAGUAUAAACAUCAAAGUAAUUUAAAGGAAUUAUUAAGGAUAACUAGCAAAUUUAUUAAAAAGGAGGUCAUAACCAAAAGCCACAAACUCAUUAAUUAAAAUUAAUAGUAAGCAAAUUGUGGCGAUCCUAAGGGAAACCUUAAAUAUUAAUACUUCCUGAAGCAAAACAUUGUAUUAAGGAAAGGAAAGGAAAUCAACCGAGACUCCGAAAGUAAUGGUGAGUGAAAUCGGAUUAGCCUAAAUAAACAAAAAUAUUUGAAAUAAUAUAAAAUUAAUUAUAAUGAAAGAAGUUGGAAGAUCAUUAAUUAUAAAAUAAUUUUUAUAUAAUAAUUAUUUAAUGUUAAUUAAAUUAAUUACCAAAGAAGGUAUUAAGUCCUGUAAAAUAUAAAUAUUUUAUUUUAAUAAGUACGAUGAGAGAAAACUUGUCGGAAUAUAGGGGAACCAUCCUCUAAGGCUAAGUAUAAUAAAUUUAGCGAUAGUGAAAAGUACUGUAAAGGAAAAGUUGAAAUAGUUCGUUGUAUAACGAAAUGAAAUAGUCUUGAAUUAGUAAUUCUAUAAGCAGUCGAAGUUUUAGAAAAUAAAAUGACGGCGUACCUUUUGCAUAAUGGGUCAGUAAGUUAAUGAUAGUAGCAAGGUUAAUUAGCCUUAGCGAAAGCGACUGAAUUAUUUGUAUAAUAAAAAAAUAUAUUAAUUUAUAUAAAUUUUUUAAAAUAUUUUUACUAUAAAAAUAGAAUAAAUUCCUUAUAUAUUAAAAAUUAAUUAAAAUAUAAGUGAUUUAUUUACAAAGAAUAGUUUUGGGAUAGUUACUAUUAUUAGACCCGAAGCCAGUUGAUCUUUCCAAAACCAGAUUAUAAUGGAUCGAACGGUUGAAUGUUGCAAAAUUCUCCGAAGAGUUUUGGAAAGCGGUGAAAUGCCAAUCUGAACUGGUGAUAGCUGGUUUUCUACGAAACAUAUUUAAGUAUGACAUCUAUUAAGAAAUUUAUGGUGGUACAGCACGGUAAUUCCCAAUUAAUAAUAUAAAUAUUAUUAAUUUAAUAUUUAUAUUAAAAAUUUAGGUUGAGGGGACUUUGAAAAUCUUACCAAUGGAAACGAAACUCGGAAUAACAUAAAUUGAUAAUAGAUAUUCAGACUAUUCAUGAUAAGUUGGAUAGUCAAGACGGAAACAGCCGAGAACAUGGAUCAAGGUCCCAAAUGAUUAUUAAGUGAAAAUAAGGAAGUAAUAGAUUGAAUGCAGCUGUAAAGUGAGCCUGGUAGUCGCUAUCUUUUAAUGACCGUUGUAACAACGUAGCAGCCCUUAGACUAUUGCGCCGAAAAUUUAACGGGUCUUAAAUAAUCAACCGAUAUCCUGUUAAUUAUAAAUAUAAAUAAAUUUUAUAUUUAUAAAUUAGGUAGUAGAACAUUCAGUAUAAUUGAUGAUAAACAGUGUUUCAUUGUUUGUAAAUAACUGAAGAGAUAAUGCUGACAUGAGUAACGUAAAAAGAAGUUAUAAUACUUCUCGCCGAAUACGAAAGGGUUAUAAGGAAAGGUUAAACCACCUUAUGUUAAUGCGGCCUCUAAGGUUCAGAACCAAAGUUUUGACUGAUGAGUAAUAUAUUGAAAAUCUAUAUGGUAAAUUUAUAAUAGAUCAGGAAAAUUAAAUAUAUAAUUUAUUUUAUUUAAAUAAAUUAAUUACUACCGUACCCUAAACCGACACAGGUUCGUAAGUAGAGAAUACUAAGGCGUAGAGCUAAAAGUUGUUAAGGAACUCGGCAAGUUGUUCUCAUAAGUUUGACGAUAAGAGAAACCAUAUAAAAUUAAAUUAGCCAUAAUUUAAUUAAUUAUAAGGUAUAAUAAAAUCGGAGGCCACGACUGUUUACUAAAAACACAAUUCAGAGCAAUAAUUAAUAUAAUAGUAUUCUGGAUGAAAUUUGCCCAAUGCCAUUAAUAUAAGAGAGGUAAUGUUAAAGUUACUAAUCGAAAGUCUGGUUAAUAGCGGUCUUAACUAUGAGGAUCCUAAGGUAGCAAAAUAAAUUGGCCAUUAAAUGUGGUCUAGUAUCAAUAAUGUAACGAUGGUCUCACUGUCUCUACAACUUGCUCAGUGAAAUUGAAUUGCGAGUGCAGAUGCUCGCUGUCUUCAGAGGGACGGGAAGACCCUAUGCAGCUUUACUGUAGUUUGUUAUCACAUUGAUUUAAAUUCAAUUAAUAGUAAUUAGGCAUGUCGAUAGACUUAAUUUGGAAAACCUUAGAAUUAGAAUUAAAUCCUUGUUUACCUUAUAAAUUGAAAUUUAAGGGAGAAAUGACAAAUUGGUAGUUUGACUGGGGCGGUCGUCUUUAAAAAAGUAGCAAAGUACAUCCAAAGAUUUUUUAAUUUAUAAUAUUAUAAUAUUUUUUUAUAAUAUACAGACAAAAAAAACAAAAUAAUUAAUUCUCUAGUAUUUUUAAAUACAAAAAAAGAAUUAAAUAAAAUAAAUAAAUUUUAUUAUUACAAGGUAUAGCUAGAAAUUGAAUGGAGAUCAAUAAACCAGUGAAAGGUUUUGGAGUGUAUAAUGGCGGAAAGCAUACCUAACUGAAAGACUUAGAAGUCGAACAGAUACGUAAGUAGGGCAUAGUGACCCCUCGCUAUAUAAUGGAAUAGACGGGGAUCAAUCGAUAAAAGUUACGCUAGGGAUAACAGGCUGAUAGCCGGCGAGAGUACACAUUGUCCCGGCUGUUUGGCACCUCGAUGUCGACUCAUCCUAUCCUCCGGGUGUAGAAGCUUGGAAGGGUUCGGCUGUUCGCCGAUUAAAAGGGUACGCGAGUUGGGUUUAAUACGACGUGAGUCAGUAUGGUCCCUAUCUUCUGAAGAGAUAAAUAGUAAAAAGGGAAAGACCUUCUAGUACGAAAGGAUCAAUAGGCUGUGUUUCUCUAGUGUACCAAUUGUUGAAUUUAAUUUUAAUAAUUCAAAUUAUUAAUUAAACAGGCAUAGUUGGGUAGCCACAAACAUAUUAGAUAAGCGCUGAAUGUAUAUAAAGCAAGAAACUAACCCCUAGAUACUAUCUUAAAUUUAUUUCUAUUAUUUUUAUUUAAAAUAAUAUUUCUUUUUAAUAUAUUAAUCCAUAAUAUUUUUUAAGAAAUGAGAUAUAAUUUAAUUUUAUAAGAAA